rnacentral:lncRNA from 1 species
AGAAGAAGAAGCAAGUAUUAAGCUUCCCAUUAAGGACAACCUAAUUUAAGCAAACCCAAAUGAGUAAAAGAAUAGAAUAAGCGAAGAACUGACUUACACUUUGAAGAAACCUGAAAAUCAGGUUCUGAUGCAGCAUAUCCCAGUAAGCACAAAGUAAAGCAACAAAUGAGAGGAGGAAGGAGACAAAAAAGCCACAAAUAAAAGUUGGGGGUUAAAGACAACAAGAAGCAUAAGUGUUAAACGUACAAUGGGUUGGGUUAUAAUCCUUUGGACCUUGGUACUAGCCAUGUUGAUGAGCUCUGGAGGAUUCCGGAGGCAAAGAGAAAGUUGAGUUGGAGAGAAGUGCAACCCUAGAACGAUUUGAGCCAAGAGGCAAAUUAGUCAUAUUUUUCUAACCAAAUAGAUUUUUUUUUAGCCAAACCAAAUAGAUAUUUUGUUUUGAGUAAUAUGCGGGGGGAUAAAUUACUCUAAGCUCUCUAUGGUUUGUUAAAAUUAGUUACACAAUACAUAUUUUAAAAAAAUAAUUAAAACAUUUAUUUUAAUUUUAACUACAGAAAUAACAUAAUAUAUAGCAAGCCUAGUCUGGUUUGAUCCAAUGGUAAAAAGAAAUAUUACUCACUUAGGAGACUCAGGCUCAAGUCUGAUACCCCCAAUCCCCUACUUAAAAAUAUAUAUAUAUAGAAAAAAUUACAGAUAUUAAAUAAUAAGAUUCUUAAAAUUACAACAGAUUAAAAGAUAUAAAUAUUAAAAACUAAAAAAAAAAUAUAAUUAAUAUGCCCUUAACAAAAUUAUUAAAGGAUUUGAUUUUAAAAGUAUCACUAUGUUUUAAUUGGGCUUUAAAAAGAUAACAACUAAUGAUUAAUUUUAGCACAAUAUAAAAAUGUGUCAAUAAUUUAUCCUGUGAACCAAAAAUGGCUAACAAAUUGAUAUGGACAAAUCACAGUUACAUUCUUUUUUUCCUUUUUUGAAUAAGUUAAGUUGUUGAAUAUUGGCUUAUUAAUAAUUUGAUUAUCUUAUUUUCUUUUUAAAAAAAAAAAUCAUAGCUUCUUUAUCACUUACAUAUAGAUCAUUUCAUUCCGUUCUUUUUUUUAAGGCUCCUUCUGUUUCCUAGGAAAUAUUUUUCAAGAAAAUGUUUUCUACAUUUGUUGGUAUUUGAGGCACUCAAAAAAAUUAGUCUCACAUAAAAUAUUUUUCUAGUUAAAAGAAAAAUUAACUUAUUUUACAGAAAAUGACUUCCUCUUUUGAGAAUCUUAUUAACACCUUUAUAUAUAAAAUUGUCAAUAUAUUUUAUUUUUUAAAUUAAUAAACAAUGAAAAAUAAGUCAUUUUAUUAGAAAUUUUUUCAAUGAAAACAUUUUCCACCGGAAAAUAUUUUUCAAAUGCAAGUUAUGUUCCACAAACAAACGGCGCCUUAAUUUUGCGAUUAGAAAACCCUAAAAAUAACAAAAGUGUUUUUACUUAAAAUUCCUAAAACCAUUUGAAUUCACAAAUAAAUGUUUGAUUAAUACAAGUGCCAGUAAAUACUUUGCAUACUGAAACCCAUAAAAUUCGGAUAGCUUCAUACAUUCGUCACUCUUUUUAAUUAUAAACAAAGAUUCACACAAACUUUAAGCACAAAACUGAACAGGAGCUGAGACAUAAAAGAACGAAAUAAAAGAAUAAAGUGAAGUUUUUGUAUUUGAUUGCCAAUCAUUUUUUGCAUGCUAUGGUAUCUAUUCAUGCAGUAAACCAAAGAGAUGUUACUGAGGAAAAGGACAGUUAGAAGGAAGAAUAAAUUUAAAAGUCACCUUCAUCAUGAAGGAAUGAAGACAUGAAGCUAAAGAAAAAUGUUUUAUAAAGCUCAUUUUUACAUUUAAGUCAUUACUUUUCAUCCAUUUUCUCAAAGCAUUUUUUUAUUUCUAUCUUUCUUCUUUUCAAAUCACACUCUAAGAAAACAGAUUUUUUGUGGGGAAAGUUUUCCACAUUAUAUCUUGAAUUACACCACUAUAAAAAUUUGUAGUGAAUAUAAAAUUAGUCACAACGUUGCCAUUAGAAGUGUGAAACAAAAGAUCACAGUGGUGAAAUUAUUUCACCACAAAAGCUAUAUUUUCUAUGGGGAAAUAUGAUCCAUUAAAAAUAUAGUUUAUUAGAGAAAAGUUUUCCCACUAAAAAUAAAACUUUUGCAGCGAAAAUCUUCCCCACUAAAAGAUAUGACUUUUGCAGCAAAACUUUUCUUCAUUAAAAGUUUGUCGAUUUGUGGGAAAUUUUUCCCCACUAAAGCAUAUCAUUAUAAUAAAAUAGUUACAAUUGAUUUAGUCAUAGGAGUUUGCUUACAUAUAAUUUAGUAGUUGCCUAUUUAUUAAUACUCAUUUUAUUAAAUCAAUUGAUUAAUAUGAGAAAUAAUAGAUCACCUUAAAAGUAUAUGGUUUCCAUUAUAAAAGAUAUGGAUAUUAAUGUACAAAGAUUUGGGACGACUCCAACCCCUGACUAUAAAAGAUCUCAAUAUGAGGGUUACAAUGAUUCAGUUGAGUUUUGAGUCAACAAUAGCACCUCUAUGGAUGCACUAGUUCUGAUGUGAUAACCAUCUGUCAGAAGUUGACAUUCAGAAUAGACAAAAGCAAGAAAAUUCUCUUAGAACAAUGAGUAAUAUUCUGGCCUCCACCUCUGUUUGUCUUGUCCAGAUGUUCAAACAGAAGCAUUUGUCAAUAUGAAAUACACCAACUUCCAUGCACAUAGUCCAAAAAAUAAAUGAUGCUUUAGGUUCAUUAGUUAGCUAUUGUGUUAAGCGUAAUUGCCCCAAAAAACAAGUGAGCAAAGACAGCUUUCUUAGAAUCUAUGUUUUGGAUUUUUACAAGGUUCCUUUUAACUUCAUCUAUAUUUUAUAGUCAUUUCUUAUUUGUUUUCUUUUGCAUCGAAUUGGAACCUGCAGGUUCAAGUUUUUGCUCUUUCUCAUUGGUAAUCAACUCAUUUUUCAUACUUUUCAUUGAAUUUGCUGUCUUUCAAGUAAAGAAUCCAUGUUAAUCUCAUCAGAAAUGGUAAAUAAAACAUGUCAAGCUCCAAUGGGAUUUUGGCAUUAUCAAUUUAACCAUCAAACUGAAAAAAGAAAAAUCAAAAGGAAUUUUCUUGAUCUAAGACUAUAUAGACACAUGGGUACCUAUUACCUAAACUAAUCUUGUGUUCCUAAACUGAUAAAUUUUGAAUUAAAAAAAAAUCAAAACCAUGGAAUAAUGUGUGUUUUAUAGAUCAUUGUAAUUCAAGGGUGGAUGUUAUUUUUUUGUAAUUGACAGUCAAAAGAAUAUAAUUAUAAUAAAUUGAACUCAAAUAAUUUCAUAAAUCAAUGAAGCAUGUCUGUCAGAUUUGUUUAAAAAUUGUACCACUUCAAAAAUUCAACAUAUCAAUAUAAAUAUAAAUAUAUUAAUUAGGAUAAUAAGAUAAAAUAGAAGUUGCAAUUGCUUACUUAUUGGAACCAGAAUAUUUAGACUUACUAUGAGGCUGGAGAUUAAAGUAGCAGAUGUGUCGAAAACAACUAAUCUGAGAGUUUCUUGAUCCCCCAAAUGCAGACACUAGCUAACAAUUAUAUUAUUAAAUCCACAUGAUUCCAUUGCUACAUGGAACUUUUGUUCCUGGUGCACACCAGGAACUGGUGUCAGUUCCUGGUAUGCACCAGGAAUUAGAAACUGAGACCAGUUCCUGAUGCACGAUCAGGGACUGAUAUCAUUCCCUGGUAUCCACCAAGAACUGAGAUUCAGUUCCUGGUCCAUACCAGUUUUCUAUACACAGAUUUGGUGAUACAAGUUUUUAGACAUACAUAUUGAAGGCAAAUUUACUUGGCACUUUGACAAUCAGCUCAUAGGAUUUUACUACUUAGGAGUAGAAAUAAAUGUGGGAAUUUUUCUUAAUGUUAUCCUCUAUCUACAGCUAGACAAAAAAUAAAUAAGAAAAUGAAAAAUAAAAAGUAUAAUGGGUGCCUUUACACUAUCUCAACUGUCAAUAAUCAUAUACCUAAUCAUUUGAUAGUCUUUAAAACUGUGUAUUCCUUCUGUAUAGAACUAUAUCAGCAGCUUGUAAGUGGGAUUUCUUCACUCUCUCCGUUAUCUUCGAUUCAUGAAUUUAGAAUGACAAUAAUUUCAGUUCCACCAGGAACUGCUCUAACAAUCCAUCACUUAGGGGACAUUGAGAAUUAUUCAAAAACAAUUGGGGGCUACGAGAAUCCAUCACCCCUAAGAUUAUUGAGCUAAAAUAAAAUAUCGAAAAUCAAACCCACAAUAUAUUGUGCCUCCAACCUUAUCGAGCAUUAUAGGUUCUUUUGAACUUUAUAGAAAAUCAAAACAAGACCUCCAACAGUGAAUUUCAUUAAUCUUCCAACAGUCAUUGGUUUGUUAACAUCAUCUAUGGACAAAUUCUCACAACAAAUAAAAGAAAAAUAGAAGUGAGAUAUCAAACCUGGUUGCAAUCGGGCGAAGGAAGAAGAAUGGGCGCCGCAGGUCCUCCAAGAUCAACUACUCGUCAAUCUGGUGUUUGGGGCGAUGGAGAUUGUGCUUUACCAACAAGCAAUAUAGAGAGUGGAGAGGAACUUGACUCGCACGAUAUGGUCCUCCAAACCUUCGUUUUCAGUUCAAGACCCGAGUAACUUCAAUUUAUUUAUUUAUUUUUC